CAGGUACAUUACACCAUUUGCAACCAGAACUGCAAUUGCCAGUACGGAUUUGCGGAGCCUCAGGGGGGAACAAUAGCACCAUGGGGCUGGCGGGAAUCGAGUUAGGGGCCGCCUGAAUAGACUUUGAGGGGUACAGUGACUGCCCUUCGCCGAUCCUACAGAGUCAGCUUUCAUAAAAGCAUGCACGAGAUACUUUAAACAUGGUA